GGGAAUUCAAAGGGUGGCGUGAAUAUUUCUGAAAUUACCUGUUUGGGAAGAAACAGCAAGCAAAGCUUGGCAGCAGUUUAUAGCUUCUCGAAAGAAGAAAUUAGCUAAAGUCAUGGCAGUGCAUAGCCAGCAAGGGAAACCCAGCAGCUCCCUUGCAACAGCAAUGUGGACAGCAGACAAGAGGUUUGAAUAGGACACCGAGUGCACUGUUGAGGCAUUUCUGACAUGUAUGGAUGUACACAGAAAGACUGACCAGGAAAUGUUUGCAGUAAUUUAUAAAAAUCACAUUCAGUGCGAAAAUAACAGGACUUCCAAACAGUGGGUGAAGAUAGAGCAACAACUUAUUGGGAAAGGGGAUUAUUUGGUCCAGAAAAAGGAGUCUUUCUCGCGUUGGGGUGGAGUCAGGAUCCCGCACAGGGGGAACCCAGAUAACAAAAUAAGUACCAAGCAACCAGCAAAGGAUUGUAUUUCAAGUUUAAUCCUACUGAAGAGAGUCAAGGGAUGAUCGAGGGCAGUGGAUUAAAAGCAGAAGCAAGUGAUGUGGAUGUGCUGGGGAUAGAAGUGGAUGAAAACGGACUUGACUGCAGCCAGCUAACCUUUUUAUCUUCCUUGAAUGAAACUUUUCAUUCUGAUGACUUCUCUGAGCAAUGUAUGGAAACACAAGUCAUUCUUCAGGAGAUAUCAGAGGCGGGAGA